GUGGCGCGCUAUCUUUCCGCUACCGCUCUCCGCGGGGCCGCUGGAGCUAUGGGUGGGGCCUGGCCACUCUGCCUCCUCGCGCUGGCGCUGGCUGCGGCGGAGGACUCGGAGUGGGCGGGGGCUGGGGACGAGGCCGAGGCGGUGUGGCCGGAGCCGUGGGCGGCGGGAGUGGGGGCGGCGCUGGGGGCGGUGGUGGCGCCCGCGUACCGGGGCCCGGGUAACAAUGACACACGCGCGAACCGGGCGCUUCCCAUCGUGCUGUGGUGGAGCGGCGGCCUCUUCCCGCACUUCCCCACCGACACGGCGCGCGUGGACUGCGCGCGCGGCUCGUGCCUGACCACGCGGCGGCGCCAGGUGUGGCGGCAGCGGCGCACGCGGGCGCUGCUCUUUUACGGCACCGACUUCCGCGCGUACGAGGCGCCGCUGCCGCGCCUGCCGCACCAGGCCUGGGCGCUGUUCCACGAGGAGUCGCCCAUGAACAACUACGUGCUGUCGCACGCGCCGGGCAUCCGCCUCUUCAACUACACAGCCACGUUCCGGCGCGAGUCGCAUUACCCGCUCACGCUGCAGUGGCUGCCGGGCCUGGCCUACCUGCGCCGCGAGCCGCUGCCUCUGUCCGACAAGGAGAGCUGGCGCCGGCGCGGCUAUGGGCCUGUGCUCUACCUGCAGUCCCACUGCGACGUGCCCGCCGAUCGCGACCGCUACGUGCGCCAGCUCAUGAACUACAUCCAGGUAGACUCCUACGGCAAAUGCCUGCAUAACCGAGAACUUCCCAGCGAGAGACUGACGGACACUUCUACAGCUACAACAGAGGAUUCUGAAUUCAUGACCUUUAUCUCCAGGUACAAGUUCCACCUGGCCAUGGAGAAUGCAAUAUGCAGUGACUACAUAACAGAAAAACUGUGGCGUCCACUGCAUGUGGGAGCCAUCCCUGUGUACCGAGGAUCCCCAUCUGUGCGGGACUGGAUGCCUGAUAACCUCUCCAUCAUCCUUGUGGAUGAUUUUGGAAGCCCCCAGGAGCUAGCAGAGUACCUUCACUUCUUGGACAGGAAUGGGGAGGAAUACUUGAAAUACCUAGAGUUUAAGAAGCCAGGAGGCAUUAAAAACCAGUUUCUGGUGCAGAGCCUGAAGUCACGAGAGUGGGGAGUGAAUGAUAUGACUCUGCCAAAUUACCUGAACGGCUUUGAGUGUUUUGUCUGUGACAAGGUCAAUGAACAAAUGAAAGCUGAGAGAGAGCACCGAAAAAAUCAUGGAAAAGUGAAAGCUCCUAAACCCCACAUAGCUCAUUUCACACACAUGGGGUGUCCUAUGCCAGCUCCUGGCUUUGGAAAUAUUGAGGACAUCCCUGAAGGAGACAGAUACAGAAAGUGCUGUACUCAUUUUUCUGGUUGGAAGAGAGGGGAAGCGCAGGAAUCUGGCACCAUGGAUAAGCAGUAAGUUGUAAGUAACUCACAGGCUUAGGUUUGGCAUAACCUCCCAUUUAUUCCUUCUGGCUGUUGGAAGGAGAUGUGGCUGCAGGAUUACUGGCAGAGCCUUGACCAAAGUGAAGCCCUCACUGCCAUGAUUCACCACAAUGAGUCGC